CUUUCUCUCUUUUUUUCCUUUUCGUCUUUUUCCUUUUCUUCUUCCACUCUCUCUGAUACGUCUCUGCGACGGACAACACGACAACAACAACAGAUAUGGUUUCUUUUAGUCGACAAUCACAAACAAUAGAAGACGAAUGAGUCCCUUUAUUAUCCUCUUCUUCGUUUGGUAACUGUACCG
rnacentral:ribozyme from 14 species